rnacentral:rRNA from 1 species
CAUAGCGACUAUCGUGGCAUAUCAAUAAGCGGAGGAAAAGAAACUAACAAGGAUUCCCUUAGUAACGGCGAGUGAAGCGGGAAGAGCUCAAAUUUGAAAUCUUCAAGGUUUUACCUUGACGAAUUGUAGUUUAAAGAAGUGUUUUCUGUUGAAGUUUUGGUAAAAGUUCUUUGGAAUAGGACAUCAUAGAGGGUGAGAAUCCCGUAUUUGACCGUUACUUUCCAGCUGUGUGAUACACUUUCAAAGAGUCGGAUUGUUUGGGAAUGCAGUCCAAAAUGGGUGGUAAAUUUCAUCUAAAGCUAAAUAUUGGCGAGAGACCGAUAGCGAACAAGUACCGUGAGGGAAAGGUGAAAAGAACUUUGAAAAGAGAGUUAAACAGUACGUGAAAUUGUCAAAAGGGAAGCGUUUGACACCAGUGUUGUUUUCUCGAAAAUCAAUUAAAAAUGAUGGGAUUUUGUGUUGUAUUGACUUUAUCAGCUUUCUGCACUCUUUUUCCUAUCUUUUUUUAAUGUACUUUUCGUUUAACAAGUCAACAUCAAUUUCUUUUGUUGUAAAAGAGUCAUUGGAAGGUGGCUUUCUUUUCGGAGAAAGUGUUUAUAGCCUUUGGCUUCUGCAAUCGGAGAGAUUGAGGUCUGCAGCGUAGAUCCUUCGGGGUUAGAUACAUUUGUGCUAAGUUAUAGCCUUUCAUAGACAACUUGUUGACUAUGAUCAGUCAUGUAGCUUACUCGCUUAUGCUAUUUUACCUACGCUUAGGAUGUUGAUAGUCACAGCGUGUAC